CAGAUUGGCUUACAUGAUAUGGUUGGAUAGUCCAACAGUGGCUGCCCUACACUAGUCAGGCUGACAACCUGGUGGUUGCUCCAUCCACAGGACUGGAUGUGUCAUCACUAUCACCAUCAUCAACACCACCACCACCACCAGCAGCAGCAGCAACAAAGAUAAACUCACUUGUUAGAGUGAAGACUAACAGGAUUACCAGAAGGAGCCACCUACUCAGUGCAGUGAACAAGACGUGUGGUCUGAAGAUACACAACACCGAGACAGGACUGUGUGGUGCUCACAUGCCACGAGCAGAGUUCAAACAGCAUCCAAGCCCUAAAGACCAGAGCCAUGGACCAAUAUGGUGGAUGGCAUGUGUGCGCUUGUUCCAGAAGUGCUACUCAUCAUGGAGGCAAAUCCUGUGAGGACGUGGAAGACUUCACCUGGUUUCUCCGCUUUCCUCCCGGUGACACGGGGGAUACUUCGGGCAGAUACUGAACUGUCUGCUGCCAUUUACAGCCACAGUUACAUGGGAUUGUUUGUUCCUUCCCUGGGCUUCUACCUCUUCCUUGACUGGAACAGAAGCUAGGUGCUUAGAUAAACC
rnacentral:lncRNA from 1 species